CCUGUUUUUGCUACCGUGUUGGUUGCUAAGUUAAGCUAAGCUAAGGUAUUAAAAGUUUGUCAACUCUUUCUGUGUACUCUCUUUCUUUGUAAAUAUCCCGUGUUGCAAUGUGGCUUUCAAUGUGGGCACUUGCGGCUUUUUACACAGCUGUAGCUUAUGUAUGUACCAAACGGUAUUUCCUUUACAAAUGUACUGUGUGAGGCUUAUAAGCUGGUGUGCUCUGUAGGCCGGAAAUUACGGUACCUCCAUUGUCUAAAUGUACCCAGAGUUUAUGGAACCAUUAUAAAACGGCAAAAUAUGAUUGCAGUUGUUUGUCCGAAACAUCUUUCCUUUACACUGCCAGAUUUUUUUAGGAGGAAUUAGGAGGCAUAUUCACUGACCAAAUAAUAGAUCAUUUUUGUAUUGGGUUUUUAAUAAGAAAAAUUGUAUAAAAUACUGUACAAAAAAACAAAAACAUUAUUAAACAGAAUGUUCAUUGAUUUUUUGGGGAACAUUUUUGCUUUAAUUCUUAAUUUAACAUUAAUUUUGCUAUUCCUUUAUACAACCCAGUUACACAGGGAAUAUUGGCGCAUGUAAGCAUUAUUACUAAGAUAAUUCAAAUGACUUUUUGACCAAAUUAUUCUAUUUUUCUUUUCUAAGGCUCUUGGUGUUUAAAAUAAGGAGUUGUCUCAGAGAUUGUUUGCGUGAAGAAAAACUUAAGUGAACAAAAUGAUGUAAACAACAGACACACCGAGAAAGACAUGACACUACUUACAUUUUAGUCAUCCUUGCAAUGUUUCGUAAACAACUUAACCACGAUCUCCCCGCUUGAGAGGCAUGUGGCACUUACUGCGAGGCUAAAAACUGACGCACAGCGGGAGCUGGCGUGCAUUGCAUGGGCGCCACACCAAGUCAGCGUGCGUGAGUGGCAGCUCGCGACCAAUGUUGGUAAACUCGACUUGAACAUUGCAGACGUACGAUGAGAUGUAAAACUGACAUGACGACGCGGAACGCGCCAUUGGGGUGUGCAUCGAGGCAUAGUAGCGGUUUGGCGCCCAUGUCAGGGCGCUGCAAUGUUACACCGCAAUUUUGUCCUAUUUACUGCGUUAAAGUGGAGCUACUACACAUAGUAAAACUUUGAACUAGUCAACAAGUAAAGAUUUGUGCAUCCCAGACCAGAAAUACAUCACAAAACCAGGCAAGAGAGACGAACAAAACAACUUCACUUAUCGCUAUGCACUAUUUAUCACGUGCGUCCAAAAUUAGAUAUAAUGUAGAUUUCGAUGGCAUUCAACGCAACAUCCGCUCUAUGAUCUCACAGCAGUGAAAACUGUCAAAACCUGCAUACAAACAACAACCCUAGGAACCUGCUCUGAAUACAAUUAUUUGUCGUUGUUUGCUUUAGAAGGUAUUUUUGUGAAAUUGUUGCAUCACAAGUGAAAAAACAUCACUGCUGGGAUGCUCUGACUCUCAGAACAGCGGCACCAACAGGCAUGAAAUCACACACAUGCUACAGACGCCAAUCGGGAUUACUUUGGUGUUUUCUUCUAUGACACUGACGGACGAUUUUCAAUUAAUUCCGCCUCGUAAUAGAUGAUAAUUGGAGUAGUACGAAAACUAACGGCGCUCCGUCAAGGCUCACAAAUACUUCAAAAUGUGUCCCUUUUUUUCCCUUCAACUGUUAUUACUGCUGUGUAUUUGCAGCUAUCACUCAACUAAUUAAAGAAUUUUUCCCUGGCAACUUUCCUGGACUGCUUUCUUCCAGAUAUCCAUAUUUCAUAAGCACUUCUCACCAUUACCGCCCGCCCCCCUCCUCCUCCUUCCCCCGAUCCAAGCUCUUUUUCGUGCCAGUGCAGUUGAGUGCACAACAGGGAGCAGCUUAUAUUCUCUGCUCUUCUUAAUUAUUAAAGCCAUCCUCAACACAUAGUGGCCAAAUCCAUCCACACAACUCGAGACAGUGAGUGAAAAGUCUGAGGAAUGAUUUGUUUGUAUUUAUCCACUUUCGCCAGACGCUAUAGAGGACGACAACUUGAGUGAGGAUAGGGGAGGAAACCGGAGUGCCCGGAGGAAACCCACGCAGGCACGGGGAGAACAUGCAAACUCCACACAGGCGGGUCCGGGAUGGAACCCGGGACCUCAGAACUGAUAAAAACACCAGAUCAUGCUGACAUUCUUCUCCAGUGUUCCUUUUGAACAUUUAUACUGGAUGCAGCGGGUGGAGGAAGAGUCACUCUGACGGGAAUGGCAUGUA